GGGAGAGAAUCCGAAUUGAGAAUAUCCAGUAAUAAUCGUCAAAAAUCCUUUCUUUAUGUCAUUGAAAAAAGGAGAAAGAAGUCAAAGCUGUAUCUACACAAAAUAACCUUCUGACUGUUUGAGCUCAUGUAACCAGUCAAGAUAUCAUGAGGUAAUCAGACAACUACUCUGUGGAAAUCAAGAAUCAUUCAAGAUAACUGAAGUAAGCCCUGGAACUGUGAUG